AGAGAUGAUCCCUGCAACAUGCUGCUGUUGCUGGGAGUGGGAAAGAGGUGGCAUCGGCGGUUCAAGACUGAGUUUUCUAUCUCUUCAGUGCCUCUUUCAACAAUGAAGAUCAAACCAGGUUUUGUGCAAAUAUCUGCUGAGUGAACUACUUAUUUGAAAAUACAUCAUUGGUUAAUAUUCCCUUUUGCUCAUUGAAAUCUCAAAGACUACAGACCCCGCACAAGACAUUCUGACAUUCCCGUCUUUGAAAUGAAUGACAGCAAUGAUAAAUAUGGCUCACCUCCAGAGAUACAGAUCUCACAACUUCAUAUUUUUAAUAUAAAUUAUUAAUCUGAGGUGUGGUGCAAUUCCAUUAGAUGAAAGAGAUCUACACAUUCAGAAGCACAUGAUUCUUCCCCCUUCCAUGAUUCCAGUGGCCAAUAGAAUGGAGUGUAGUGGCGUGAUCUUGGCUCACAACAACUUCUGCUUCCCACAUUCAAGCGAUCCUCCCACCUUAUACUCCUGAGUAGCUGGAACCACAGACAAACUACAAUAAAGCCAUGCCCUGACUGGAUGUGCCUAACAUUUGUCUGGUGCUUAAAGGAGUUGGCUGCAUGCGUGGGAUGGAGAAGGAUUCAACAUUUAAUGGCAGUUAGAAUCAAAUUUUUAACUCAAGAAGGCAGAAGGAAUCCACCUAAAUAAAUGUUGGAAAGUCACCAAAAAUAGUUCUCCAAGUCAGAAGCGGUGCAAAAGCUGCCUCAGCUCUUGGUGGAUUUUCAAUUUCUCCCAGCCAUCUCUGUUUCGCUAAAGGUUUCUGAAGACAGUGGAUAAUGAAGAUAUUAUACCAUUAUAUGCUCUUGAAUCUGUCUCAUUGUGACUUGGCGAAGAGGCAGUGAAUCUGCCAAAAAGAAGUAGAGCAGCUGUGAAGAUGCCAACACAAUUGAGUACUCUUUCUCUACAUAUUUCUAAAUAUGGCAAUUUAUUGGACACUUAUGAGCAUGGAAUGACAAUGGGGUCAAUUUAACCAUACGGCAAUGCUGAGACACCUUCAUUAUGACCUUUCCCUGGUAUAAGUUAUGUGAUAAUGAAUGCAUGUUUAGUCACACACUGUAGGUACAGAUGGGAAAAAAGAAAGCAUAAAAUAUAAAACAUGAUGUCCAGGUUUCAAAUAAGAAUUCUAAAAUGUUAUUUAAUUAAUGAAAUGAAAAUACUUUACUUUAGAAAAAGAAUAUUGAAUCUCUUUGAUGUAUAAAAUGUAUAUUUCAAAUUAAAAAUUCAAAAGAAACAAAUUAGAUAUAA
rnacentral:lncRNA from 1 species